GUCCUGGUAGCUCAGUUGGUAGAGCAGGAGUCUUUUAAUCUCAGGGUUGUGGGUUCAAGCCCCAAGUUGGGCA